rnacentral:rRNA from 1 species
UACGAAGGGGGCUAGCGUUGCUCGGAAUCACUGGGCGUAAAGCGCACGUAGGCGGAUUGCUAAGUCAGGGGUGAAAUCCUGGAGCUCAACUCCAGAACUGCCUUUGAUACUGGCGAUCUUGAGUCCGGGAGAGGUGAGUGGAACUGCGAGUGUAGAGGUGAAAUUCGUAGAUGUUCGCAAGAACACCAGUGGCGAAGGCGGCUCACUGGCCCGGUACUGACGCUGAGGUGCGAAAGCGUGGGGAGCAAACAGG